AUUGAACGCUGGCGGCAGGCCUAACACAUGCAAGUCGAGCGGAUGAGAGGAGCUUGCUCCUUGAUUUAGCGGCGGACGGGAGAGUAAUGCCUAGGAAUCUGCCUGGUAGUGGGGGAUAACGUUCCGAAAGGAACGCUAAUACCGCAUACGUCCUACGGGAGAAAGCAGGGGACCUUCGUGCCUUGCGCUAUCAGAUGAGCCUAGGUCGGAUUAGCUAUUUUGUGAGGUAAUGGCUCACCAAGGCGACGAUCCGUAACUGGUCUGAGAGGAUGAUCAGUCACACUGGAACUGAGACACGGUCCAGACUCCUACGGGAGGCAGCAGUGGGGAAUAUUGGACAAUGGGCGAAAGCCUGAUCCAGCCAUGCCGCGUGUGUGAAGAAGGUCUUCGGAUUGUAAAGCACUUUAAGUUGGGAGGAAGGGCAUUAACCUAAUACGUUAGUGUUUUGACGUUACCGACAGAAUAAGCACCGGCUAACUUCGUGCCAGCAGCCGCCGUAAAAC
rnacentral:rRNA from 1 species